GCCCUUAUAGUUUAGUGGCUAUAACAUCUCACUCGUAGAUCGCUGUGUGAUGAGAAGGUCCUGUGUUCGACUCGCAGUGGGGGCA